CUCUGGCGAUACUGCCUCGCAAAACGGGGAGGAAGGUGGGGAUGACGUCAAGUCAGCAUGGCCUUUAUAUCUUGGGCUACACACACGCUACAAUGGGUGGCACAAUAGGUUGCAACAGCGCGAGCUGAAGCUAAUCCCCAAAGCCAUCCUCAGUACAGAUUGCAGGCUGAAACCCGCCUGCAUGAAGUCGGAGUUGCUAGUAACCGCAAAUCAGCAUGUUGCGGUGAAUACGUUCUCGGGCCUU
rnacentral:rRNA from 1 species